rnacentral:rRNA from 1 species
AGAGUUUGAUUAUGGCUCAGGAUUAACGCUGGCGGCGUGCCUAAUACAUGCAAGUCGAAUGGUAGUAGCAAUACAAACCAUGGCGAACGGGUGAGUAACACGUAGGUAACCUGUCUUUAAGACGAGGAUAACCAUUGGAAACGAUGGAUAAUACUGGAUAGGACAUUAUAAGGGGCAUCCCUAAAUGUUUAAAGAUUAUUAUGUCACUUAGAGAGGGGCCUGCGGCGCAUUAGCUAGUUGGUGAGAUAACAGCCCACCAAGGCGAUGAUGCGUAGCCGGACUGAGAGGUUGAACGGCCACAAUGGAACUGAGAACGGUCCAUACUCCUACGGGAGGCAGCAGUAGGGAAUUUUCGGCAAUGGGCGCAAGCCUGACCGAGCAACGCCGCGUGAACGAAGAAGUUAUUCGUAAUGUAAAGUUCUUUUAUCUGGGAAGAAAAACAAAUUGACGGUACCAGAUGAAUAAGCUCCGGCUAACUACGUGCCAGCCGCCGC